ACCUUUUACUGUUGCUCCAAUCAAUUGCCCAUUUCUGGAGUCUGAACUUUGACAAAAAAUUGCAACAAAGAAAAAGUUUUCCAACUUUUGGGUGCUUCAUUGUUGUUGACUUGGUUGCCAUGUAGCUUCACAUAAAGAUUCAAGAAGUCUGUAGGGUAGGUGAUUUCUCUUGUCGACACUGAAAUAUUUCGUUGAAAUUGCCAAAAUGGGGGCAAAGUUUACAAAAAUGCCCGAAAUGUGCUAUAUGGUGGAAUUUUUUCAUGAAACUUCAGGGAGUGAAUUUUGAGCAUGAAUACACUUUUUAAUCAUUAGUUAAAAAAAGAGAAAAAAAAAAAAAAUAGUUGCAUUUCAGCAUUGGAUCCUAUUCCUAUGUUGCUAGUGUAUAACAUAGCCUACUAUGUUGCUAGUGUAUGAUGUAGCCUACUAUAUCCUUUUACUUAUAUAACGUUUUCUUCACAUAAUUUAGGCCUAAAACAAUCAACAUUCAAACAAAACAAUAGAAAUAUGCUCUAAAAGCAAAGAACUAUAAAUAUUAUCAAGCUUAUAUGAAAGUAUAAUAGUACAAUCAUAUAUAAAGUCGCUUUUGUUGUCAAAAUGUGUCAUCAUAGACACUUAACCAAGUACAAAUUUCCAACUAUUUCUGAAGUUCAAUAUUCCAUAUGGGAGGGUCAAAAUACGUAACUGGUAGAUUGAUGCUAUUUCAGUGACUAUAGAAGUAGCGAGGAAAGGCAUGUAUAUUUUUAUAACAGAUAGUAUGGUAGGUCACAAAUUGGGAGAAUUUGCACCUACGAUAAAUUUCCAAGGACAUGCGAGAAAUGAUAAUAAAUCUCGUCGUGAAUUUAAUAUUUAAUAAAGUGAAUAUAGGUGUUCGUCGUUCAUUGAGGGUGGUGAACUUAUGACAAAUAAGACAAAAUAUAAUGCGUAUAAAAGGUAUACUUCUGUAUACGCUUUAGGUCAACAUAUAUGCAUGUCUGCUCACAAAGCACGAAAAGUAAUUGAUCGGAUUCGUGGGUGUUCCUUCGAGUUUCGGGAAUAUCCCCAUUCAUAGGUCCGACCGUCCAAAUGUUCAACUCUGCCAUCAGUUGUUGGAAUCAAUAGGUCUUCAAAUCGUUCAUUUGAAUAAAUUGAAACCCUUCUUAUUGGCUGAUCAUGAUACUUCCCAAAAAUCGAAAUUCUUGAUCAAUGGAGGAACAAUAUCACCAUUUUUGUUCAAUAAUCUUGUAUGGUUUUGAAUAGAACUGAUUGGAGGAAUAGGAUCCAUGUAGCCGACCUCAUUUAGUUGGGAUAAGGCUGAGUUGUUGUUGUAGUUGUUGCUGGGACUGACAAUAUGAAUGCUCAAAUUGAAUGAAAAAUGCUGGCCAUGUCAUCCUUUGCCUAAAGGAUAAAGAACUUCAUAGAAACUUAAACUAAAGAAGUAGCAACUAUUAUACCCAUCAAGAUCCAUCAAAUCUCUACCAAAACCGAACCACAUCAUUGUUCGCAUUAACAGUAAUUUUGUUUCAUUAUUAUUAUUAUUAUUAUUUUUUUGAAUUUGAUUCUUGUCCUCUUCUUCAUGCUUUGAUCUACUUCAACUCACCACCCAUCUUCGAAAAAGAUCGACCUCGAGUUUUAUAGAAUCUAGGGAUGAGCUUCGUGGGGUGCAUGUCCAGCUUCAGCUCAAAACAAUACUCAAGCAGCUCACAGAUGUUUGGAAUGCAAUAUUCGAGGCGGGGAGCUUUAUCUUCAAAGAACUUUUUUGGCAUGACAAAAUCUACAUGCUCGAUUUCGAAAUCAUCAGUUGUGUCCAUGGGGUCUUCUACAGUUGCAUCUUCGACCUUCUCGAACUCAAACUCGAGCUCCUUAAGUUCUUCGUCCUUGUCAUUCGUAGUCUCCUCAAUGGUUUCUUCAACAACUACUUCAAUUAUCAAGCUUGCAAAAGAAGGGGUGGCUGCUACCUCCAUUCAACUAGUUCCUAUGCUGGGCCAGCCAGCCAAAAACCAGCCCAUUGAACUGGCCGAUUGAUCUUCUAAAAGGGCCUAAAUGCUUCUUAUCGAUUUCAGCAACAAGCUGGAAUUUUGUCUCCUUGUGAUUUUCAGCUUUUGUUUCCUUUUCCACGGUCUAGACUUUGUUUCCUUUUCGUGUUUCUUAGUUGACAAGUAAUUAGAACUAGCUAGUUGUCUAUAAAAGAUUCUUAAGUUACUAUUUUGAUAUUUCCUUAGCAAACAAGUUGUUUCAAUUAGGAAGGUUUCCUAAUUGAAUAGUUUCUUUUCUUAUUUUCGGGCAUUUCUCGAAAGGGUACAAUUGCUUGGAAUUUGACCAAUUGAGGUAUCUAGAAACAAUAUUUUAUUAUUUCUUUAUUCGAGAAAGAGAUCUUUAUUCUAUUUCUAUAGUAUUUCUAGAUCCAAGGACUAACCAAUUAAUUACAAUAAAAAGAAAGAAGGAAUAGAUCCAUAGAUUUGAUACCUUGUUAUCAUGGUUCAAAAUCUCACCGAGAUCUUGGCGAGUUUCGUUAUUUUUUUUUUUGGGCCGAGACAAGAUAAGCUACGAAAUACACUUUGUACAUCGUCUCGGUCGAAAUCUCGGUAUCUCAGCCGAGAUAUCGGUAUCAUCUUGGUGAGAUAUCGAAAUGUUACAUAAAUUGUUACUUUUUAUGGUAAAUAUACUUUUGAUGUAAGUCAAUUAUAUAUAUGUUACUCACCAUUGGCUGUUCUCCGACUUUAUCGGAGUGAAAUUUUGUUUUCAGCCUGUAAUUAUUUAUUUUAAUUUUCAAAAAAUUAUAAAAAUAGAUUAAUAAUAAAAAAAUAGGGAAAAAUAUUCUGUUUUGAUUUUAAAAAUAAAAGAAAAAUAAGAGAUUAAUAUUAAAGUGUUUUGAAGCAUACAUGAUGCUUUUUAUGUUAUACCAUAUUCUCUAGAACAGUUCUACGGUUGCUGCCAAACAAGGGUGCAACUCUAAAACAAUGUCAUGUUCUAAUAUUUUUGCAAAUUUAUGUUCUAAGCAUGUUUAUUAACCUUAAAACGAACUACCCACAAAGUUUCAGAUCAAAAUACAGCCGUUUGACCACCGAAACAGUGAACCGAGUAAAAAAAAAAAAAAAAAAAAAAUUACACCAACUCACCGAGGUCUCGCCAAGUUCGUGAUUCUGAACCCACCAAAAUGAGAUUUCGAACCUUGCUUAUUAUACAACCUAUGCUUGAUAGAAAUAUUAGAUCAGAUAGAGUCGACAAAUGAGGUGGGUUCAUUAACGACUCAUAGAUUCAAAAUGCCAAAGAAGAAAGCAUUCACUCCCCUCCCAUAUCUUGCUUCUAUAGUCUUUUUACCCUGGUGGAUCUCUCUCUCUUUUAAUCUUUCCAUUUUGUAACAAGCUUGGCCAAAGCUAUAAAUAGGCCUUUACUUGUAAGAAUUCAGCAGAUUUGAUUAAUGAGAUGUUGAGAAGUUUCUCCAUGGCUGUCAAGGUCGACUGAGGGGUGGGAUGCCCAAAACCUUAGGAGGGUGAGAGGCCCAAGGGGAGGAUGAGAGGCCUGAGCCAACCACCAUUCUUCUUCUCCAUUCUCAUCCCUCAAUCAAAUGUUGUUUCUUUCUUUAUUUUCUGUUUUCUCUUUGAGGGUUGUGAGACCAUUAUCAGCGUUGCAAAUUCAACAAGCAAAGCUGAAGAUCUGAGCCUGCUUCAAUACCUGCGACGGCAACAAGAGAGGGCUUCUUGGGUUAGGGACUGAACCUCAUAUCUCUCAGGCUUUUGGACCUACCUUUGACCCUUUUCAGCCACCCUUUUGGGAGUCAUCCAGGACUAUAUGAAGGCCACUCGACCAGCACAGGUUGGCCAUCAGACACCAGCAACUCCAGUUCUUGAAAAUCUCCAAAAACUUCCUUUUUCAUGGCCUGAGCAAGAACAUGCAGAUCUCAGCCAUCUUUCAUCGGAUCAGAGCAGGGUUUUGGGGGCUUGUUCCAUACCCUAGGAGUGACCUUCGACCAGAGAAUUGAGGCCAUCUAAGGCCUGUUGCUGUUGCUGCUCGAAAUCACCCAAAAGUUUCCUUUUUCUUACCAACAGCAUUUCUCUUAGUUCAGUGAUAUUAUGGGGGUUUGUUUGAUCAUACAAGGGCAACAUUUGAUCCAAAAGUUAGGCUCAUUUGAGCCCUGGUUUGAGAGAUACAGUUUACCCUAAUUUUGAACUUAUUCCUCAGUUAUAACUUCUGAUCAUAUAUGAAUCUUUUGUUUGCCUAAUGUGUGUAGCCUAUCACUAGUCCUUAUUGAGGUUGAUUACAUCUGCAAUCUUCCUUGUAUCAUCUUCCACUUUCAAAAUUUCAAUGACUGCCACAGUAACCCUUGGAGGUGGUGGGGGGAGGAGGGGACUAAUGUUGCUUCAAAUUGUUUCCCAAGAACGGCCAUGCAGUCUAAUAAUUGUUUCAGGUUCUCUUCAACUGCAUAUUCCUUCUGGUGGGAAUCUUGUUGAAGGGGGAGCUUUCUUUGGAUAUAUUCAGGUAGGUAUUGCUGUAUUGGUUUUCCAACUUGUGUUUCAUCUCUUCCUAAGUCCUAGGCUCACGUAUUUUAAAUUGGAGCCGCUCUUUAUAGACUCUCCACCAUUCUCUAGCACGACCACUCAAUCGGGAGUAAACAAAUCGAAGCUUUCACGUCUCUGUCAAGUUGUAGUAGACAAAAUAAUUCUCCAUAGAAUCUGACCAAUCAAGGAAUUGGCAGGGAUCCCUGUGUCUAGCAAAGUAAGUGACUUCUUGUUCCAUCUUCAGUUAGGUUUUGAUACCAAAUAAUGUAGAUGCUAGCUCAAAUAAGAACCAACCCUAUUGUAGGAUUGAUGCAUUGUCAUCAAUGGAGCUCUCCAACAAAACACCAUAGGAAAACUGAAUCGAUUGUGUCAGUUGCAAAUUAACCCAUUGAACAA